rnacentral:rRNA from 1 species
GGGCUCACACAAGCGGUGGAGCAUGUGGCUUAAUUCGAAGAUACGCGCAGAACCUUACCAACACUUGACAUGUUCGUCGCGACUUUAAGAGAUUAAAGUUUUCGGUUCGGCCGGACGAAACACAGGUGCUGCAUGGCUGUCGUCAGCUCGUGUCGUGAGAUGUUGGGUUAAGUCCCUCAACGAGCGCAACCCUUAUCGCUAGUUGCUAACAGGUAAUGCUGAGGACUCUAGCGAGACUGCCGGUGUCAAACCGGAGGAAGGUGGGGAUGACGUCAAGUCCUCAUGGCCUUUAUGCCCUGGGCUGCACACGUGCUACAAUGGUAAGGACAAAGGGCAGCGAGCCGGCGACGGU